rfam:Desulfonispora thiosulfatigenes DSM 11270 genome assembly, contig: Dest_Contig00017
UUGUAUAUGAGUUUUCCGCUGUAGACAGUAGGCGUCACUAGACUUAAUUUCCUACCGAGGUGGCUUAGAGUGAGUGAGUAAUUCAUGAAUUCAGCCCUUCGUGUCGUUUACGGAGGGCUUUUAUAUUUUAUAU